rnacentral:tRNA from 1 species
GUUUCAGUAGCUCAGUGAGGAAAGCAGUUGCCUGACGAGCAAAAUACCCGGGUUCGAUUCCCGGCCGGUUCG